UACGAAGGGGGCUAGCGUUGUUCGGAAUUACUGGGCGUAAAGCGCACGUAGGCGGCUUACUAAGUCAGGGGUGAAAUCCUGGAGCUCAACUCCAGAACUGCCUUUGAUACUGGCAAGCUAGAGUGCGGUAGAGGGUAGUGGAAUUCCCGGUGUAGCGGUGAAAUGCGCAGAUAUCAGGAGGAACACCGGUGGCGAAGGCGGGUCUCUGGGCCGUAACUGGACGCUGAGGAGCGAAAGCAUGGGGAGCGAACAGG
rnacentral:rRNA from 1 species